rnacentral:rRNA from 1 species
UGCUAAUACCGGAUAACAACAGAUGAUGCCUAUCAACUGUUUAAAAGAUGGUUCUGCUAUCACUCUUGGAUGGACCUGCGGUGCAUUAGCUAGUUGGUAGGGUAACGGCCUACCAAGGCGAUGAUGCAUAGCCGAGUUGAGAGACUGAUCGGCCACAUUGGGACUGAGACACGGCCCAAACUCCUACGGGAGGCAGCAGAU